UGCUAACCCCCUGGUGUGGCUUUGCCUU
rnacentral:piRNA from 1 species